GAUGAACGCUGGCGGCGUGCCUAAUACAUGCAAGUCGAGCGAAUGGAUUAAGAGCUUGCUCUUAUGAAGUUAGCGGCGGACGGGUGAGUAACACGUGGGUAACCUGCCCAUAAGACUGGGAUAACUCCGGGAAACCGGGGCUAAUACCGGAUAACAUUUUGAACCGCAUGGUUCGAAAUUGAAAGGCGGCUUCGGCUGUCACUUAUGGAUGGACCCGCGUCGCAUUAGCUAGUUGGUGAGGUAACGGCUCACCAAGGCAACGAUGCGGAGCCGACCGGGGAGGGUGAUCGGCCACCAUGGGACUGAGACACGGCCCAGACUCCUACGGGAGGCAGCAGUAGGGAAUCUUCCGCAAUGGGCGAAAGUCUGACGGAGCAACGCCGCGUGAGUGAUGAAGGCUUUCGGGUCGUAAAACUCUGUUGUUAGGGAAGAACAAGUGCUAGUUGAAUAAGCUGGCACCUUGACGGUACCUAACCAGAAAGCCACGGCUAACUACGUGCCAGCCGCCGCGGUAA
rnacentral:rRNA from 1 species